AUCCCAGCACUUUGGGCCCAGGAGGACAAGACCAGUCAAUAGUGCGAACCCCAUCUCUUAAAAAAAAUUUUUUUGUUUUGUUUUAGGCUGGCCGUGGUGGCUCACACCUGUAAUCCCACACUUUGGGAGGCCAAGGCAGGUGGAUCCCCUGAGGUCAGGAGUUCGAGACCAGCCUGGCCAACAUGUUGAAACCCUGUCUCUACUAAAAAUACAAAAAUUAGCCAGGCAUGGUGGUGGGUGCCUGUAAUCCCAGCUACUUGGGAGGCUGCUGUGGGAGAAUCAUUUGAACCCGGGAGGUGGAGGUUUUAGUGAGCCAAGAUCAUACCACUGCACUCCAGCCUGGAUGAAAGAGAAAGAGUCUGUCUCAAAAAAAAAAAAAAAUUGUUUUAAACUUAGCCAGGUGUGGUGAUGCAUGCCUGUGGUCCCAGCUACUUGGGAGGCUGAGGUGGGAGGAUUGCUUGAGCUCAGGAGUUCAAGGCUUCAGUGAGCUAUGAUCAUGCCACUGCACUCCAGCCUGGGUGACAGAACAAUACCCUGUCUCAAAAAAAAAAAAAAAAAUCUUUUGGCCUUUUCCUCCUUGUCACAAGUGGCUGUUGCAACUCCAAAUAUUGAGUCUGCAUUCCAGGAGAAGAAAAAAGAGGAGAAAAGAACAACAUCCACAGAUACCUGCUUAUAGCCCAUUAGCCAGGACCAUGUCAUAUGUUCACUUCUAGCAGCAAAGGAGGCUGAAAAAUAGAGUAUUUCAUUUUCCAGCCUCUGUUUUGGGGGAUGUUAAAGGAGAGGAGGAAUGAGAUUAGGUGUUGGGUGAGCUGACAGCAUCUGCCACACCAGGCCCCAGGAAAAAAAUAUUGAUGAGGAUUAGGAAAUCAAAUUCAGAUUCAUUACUUUUACAGACAUUGGAACUAAAGAAUGAUUGUGACAAUGGUAUGGUAGACAAAAUUCUAAGAUGGCCCCCCAUCAAUGACCCUUGCUUGCCCUUGUAUAAUCCCCUCCCCUUGAGUGUAGACAAGACCCGUGAGUAUGAUGAGAUAUCACUGCCAUGGUUGUGUUAUGUUACAGGGCAAAAGGGACUUCAGAGUUUUAAUUACAGUUACUAGUAGCAGGGUGCUGUGGCUCACGCCUGUAAUCCUAGCACUUUGGGAGGCUGAGGCAGGCAGAUCAUGAUGUCAGGAGAUCAAGACCACGCUGGCUAACACAGUGAAACCUGGUCUCUACUAAAAAUACAAAAAAAUUAGCUGGGCAUGAUGGCACGUGCCUGUAGUCCCAGCUACUUGGGAGGCUGAGGCAGGAGAAUCGCUUGAACCCAGGAGGCAGAGGUUGCAGUAAGCCAAGAUCACGCCACUGCACUCCAGCCAGGGUGACAGAGUAAGACUCUCGGAAAAAAAAAAAAAAAGUUACUAGUUAGUUGACUUUGAAUUCAUCAAAAGAGAAAUUAUCCAGGUGGGCCUGACCUCAUCACACCUAUCCUUUCAAUAUGGGCAUAGAGGCUAGAGACAGCAGAAGUCAGAAAUGUAAAGCACAGAGGGCCUCUGUGCACCCUGCUGGCUUUGAAGAUGGAGGAGCAAGGUGUGUAGGUGGACUCUAGGCACUCAGAGCUGCCUCUCCCUGACAGCCAGCAAGGAAACAGGGGCCUCCUUUCUACAGCCAGAGUGAACUGAAUUCUGCCAUCACCACAUACACUUGGAAGAGGACCUUGGGCUCCAGAUCAGAAUGUAGCCUGACCAACAUCUCCAUUUUAUUAGCCUUGUGAGUCCAUGACCAAAGAGCCCUGCCAUGCUGUGCCAGAACUUCUGACCUACGGAACUGCAAGCUAAUAAAUGAACUGUUUUAAGUUACUAAGUUUGUGGUAAUUUGUUACACAUCAGUAGAAAACUCAUACAAAUAGUUAAUAAAGGAAGGUAGCCAGAGAAAUAUUGUAGGGUAGCAUCAAAAUUAGUGGAGAAGGGCUGGGUGCUAUGGCUGAUGCCUAUAAUCCCAGCAGUUUGGGAGGCUGAGGCGGGUGGAUCACCUGAGGUCAGGAGCUUGAGACCAGCCUGGCCAACAUGGUGAAACCUCAUCUCUACUAAAAAUACAAAAAUUAGCCAGAUAUGAUGGCAGGCACCUGUAAUCCCAGCUACUCAAGUGGCUGAGGCAGGAGAAUUGCUUGAACCUGGGAGGCAGAAGGUUGCAGUGAGCCAAGAUUGCGCCACUGCACUCCAGCCUGGGCAACAAAGUGAGACUCUGCCUCAAAAAAAAAAAAAAAAAAUUAAUAGAGAAGAUAUCAAGGUGCUGGACACUGUUAGAGGGAUAAUAUUUUCCUUUCUCACAGGAAUCAGAAUACCUACCACCAGUCAGGUGCUGUGACUCACGCCUGUAAUCCCAACACUUUGGGAAGCCAAGGUGGGAGAAUCCCUUGAGGCCAGAAGUUUGAGACCAGUCUAGGCAACAUAGCAAGACUUUGUCUCUUAAAAAAAAAAAAAAAAAUUACCUGGGCAUGAUGGUAUGCACCUGUAAUCCCAGCUACUCAGGAGGCUGAGGCAGGAGGAUUGCUUGAGCCUGGGAGUUUGAGGCUGCAGGUAGCCGUGAUCACACCACUGCACUCCAGCCUGAGUGACAGAGCAAGACCUUGUCUCUAAACAAACAAACAAACAAAAAACGAGAACAAAAACAAAUAAUACCUACUGCCUAUUUUAAUAGAACUGGAGGCUGUAAUUGAAUUUAGAACUUUGGACAUGAGUCUUCCAAGUGGGUAACUCUUCCCUGGGUAUGAGCUGUGCCUCCCUGGGGGGGCACAGGCCCUUUCUCGCCACUGAAGGACACUGGGUAAAGUACUUUGGAUGUUGUUCUACAGGCAGUAGGGAGCCAUUGAAGGUUUUUGAACAAGAAAGUGCCAUGACCAGAGUGAUUCCUUAGGAAGAUGAUUCUGACACUAUCUAAAAUGAAAGAGAAAGAGACUAGAGCUGGGGAGAAACGGGAACCCACCAAGAGCUACUGUAAUAAUCUGCAUAUGAGGUAAUGCGGGCCUGAGGCUGGGUCCUGGGCUCUAAACAGAGCUCAGCCCCCUGGCCUCUUACCUGGGCUCCAUCAAGAUCCAGACCUUUACAUGCUUCUCUUAAAAUGGGGCUGUCCUCAGUGGAGGGCUAGGGGACAGAGAACAGCUCCUAGAACACGGUGACUUCUGCCCCGUGGGGUCUUCUGGCAGCUGGUAGCUGGGUAGUGACUCCGGGAGGUGCUUCAAGGAUGGAAAGGAGCAGGUCUGCCCAGGUUUGAGAGACUGAGGCAGACACGCAAGGAGAUGCCGGGGCUGAAGAGCAUUGGCCUGGGAGGCUGAAACCUGAGCUCUUGUCCCAGCUUCAUCACUCAUUCACCAUGUCUGCCCUCUCAAGUGGGCCUUAAGACGUCUCUGCAAUUGCUACCACUUUUGAGUCUAUGAGAUAGUCUUUGAAUUAUCUGGAGGAAAGAAGUUUGCUGGUUUGAAACAAAGUCUCAUUCUGUCGCCCAGGCUGGAGUGCAGUGGUGUGAUCUCAGCUCACUGAAACCUCUACCUCUCACGUUCAAGCACUACUACGCCUGGCUGAGGUUCAAGCGCCACCAUGCCUGGCUAAUUUUUGUAUUUUUAGUAGAGAUGGGAUUUCACCAUGUUGGCCAAGCUAGUCUUGAACUCCUGGCCUCAUGUGAUCAACUUGCCUCAGCCUCCUAAAGUACUGGGAUUGCAGGUGUGAGCCACUGCACCUGGCCUAGGAGGAAAGAAGUUUUAAACUCAAAAGAUGAACAGAUAGAGUAGGUUACUGUGAUUUACUGGACUAUCAAUCAGAGUUAUUAUGGGACAGAACUAUGUUACUUCAGAAAAAUGAAAUUAACGGUUUACAUAACUAGGAAGCCCUGGCCUGAUCCAGGUGUCUGAGCAGUGUCCCUGGGAGUCUCUGUCUCUGU
rnacentral:lncRNA from 1 species